CAGCAGCCGCGGUAAUACGUAGGGUGCGAGCGUUAAUCGGAAUUACUGGGCGUAAAGCGUGCGCAGGCGGUUGUGUAAGACAGGUGUGAAAUCCCCGGGCUUAACCUGGGAACUGCGCUUGUGACUGCACAGCUAGAGUAUGGCAGAGGGGGGGUGGAAUUCCACGUGUAGCAGUGAAAUGCGUAGAGAUGUGGAGGAACACCGAUGGCGAAGGCAGCCCCCUGGGCCAAUACUGACGCUCAUGCACGAAAGCGUGGGGAGCAAACAGGAUUAGAUACCCCAGUAGUCCCUGUCUCUUAUA
rnacentral:rRNA from 1 species